UACGUAGGGUGCGAGCGUUGUCCGGAAUUAUUGGGCGUAAAGGGCUCGUAGGCGGUCUGUCGCGUCGGGAGUGAAAACUCAGGGCUUAACCCUGAGCCUGCUUCCGAUACGGGCAGACUAGAGGUAUGCAGGGGAGAACGGAAUUCCUGGUGUAGCGGUGGAAUGCGCAGAUAUCAGGAGGAACACCGGUGGCGAAGGCGGGUCUCUGGGCAGUAACUGACGCUGAGGAGCGAAAGCGUGGGGAGCAAACAGG
rnacentral:rRNA from 1 species